GGUGGUCUCCUCCCUUACUGGGAAGACAGGUUAAUCUCCUGAGUCAGGUAAGUGUAAGACAACCAUGCCCAGCACUUGGAAGGAACUCAAAAAGUUCAACUGCCUUAUGCAAUAAACCCUUCUCUAGGGUUUACAGCAACCACACCUUAGCAAGAUUUUUUACUCCCAGGAGGGAAGACCUUUCUACAAAACAUUUCUUUCACUAGCCCAGGAGGAAGGAAAUGUAGAGAUUUUCUGGUCUAGACCUUCAUCUUAAAGUUGGGGAAGGAAGGGAAAGCUUGAGGUCACAUUGGGAGUUGGUACCAGAACUGGACUAUAGCCAAGUCUCCUAGUUCUCAAUUCUAGAGCUUUCCUACCACAUCACAAGCUAGCCUCUUUGAACAGUGAUUUGUCAGUAUCUGGUAAAGAUUGAAAAUAUACAAAUAUCCCAUGUAUGUGCUCAUGGAGAAAAGAAUAAAAAUAUUUACUGCAGCAUCAUCCAUCAUCAAAAAUAAGUACUAACUUAAAUAGCCCUCCAUAGAGAAACACAGAGACCUGGAGACUAAGAAACCAGUCCUUGAAGUCAAGCUGACUCUGCUUUUAGCCUCCUAAAUUAAAAGAUAGAUAGAAUAGGUCUUGUUUGCAAAAUAAAUUCAAGAUCUACUCAUCUAUCAAUAGCAAAAAAAAAAAAAAAAGAGAGAGAGAGAAAUGCAGAGGCAAAUUGUGAUGUGUUCAUAAGUUGGAAUACUAUACAGCCAUUAAAAUGGAUAUACCUGAUCUAUAU
rnacentral:lncRNA from 10 species